UUGGUGAUAACACUAAUGGUUGUACCAGUGCCGGCCCACAUUUUAAUCCAUCAGGAAAGACUCAUGGUGGACCUGAUGAUGAAAACAGGCACUUUGGUGAUCUUGGUAAUAUCAAAGCAGGGAUUGAUGGUAAAGCUA